rnacentral:rRNA from 1 species
UACGGGGGGAGCAAGCGUUGUUCGGAUUUACUGGGCGUAACGGGCGCGUAGGCGGCGCAACAAGUCACUUGUGAAAUCUCCGGGCUUAACCCGGAGCGGCCAAGUGAUACUGUCGUGCUAGAGUGCGGAAGGGGCUACUGGAAUUCUCGGUGUAGCGGUGAAAUGCGUAGAUAUCGAGAGGAACACCUGCGGCGAAGGCGGGUAGCUGGGCCGACACUGACGCUGAUGCGCGAAAGCCAGGGGAGCGAACGGG